rnacentral:lncRNA from 1 species
UUCUGUUAGCUAAAAAGCUGGCUGAUCUCGUGUUUGUUACGAGAUGUGUGGUGCGUCCAGGUUGUUGGCGGUUUUGUAGCGCCGGUGGCGUGCGUCUGCCUAUAUAGGUCUAUGUAGCCCGUGAUUUGUUCACAGUUUGAGCUGGAGAAAAACGCUGUUUGUCAGCGAGGCAUUUGUCGCCGCAAAACACCUAUGCGUUUACUUCUUCUUCUACCUCUCUCCCCGAAAACCAGUUCGUGCUAUCUAGGGUUAGACCCAACAAUUGGUAUACAGAGCCUCGUUUGUUCCUCUUCUCGUGGCCAUGGCGAUCGUCCCGCACGGCGCCGGGGGGAGCACGGUGUCCAUGGCGAUGCCGAUGCUCACACCGGACAACUACACGGUAUGGGCGAUCAAGGCCGAAGCUAUCCUCGACGCCCAGAACCUCUGGGAAGCGGUGUCGCCGGCCGGCGACGCGGGGAAAAACAAGACGGCGAGAGCGGUGCUGUUCGGUGCGCUCUCCGAAGACUUGUUGAUGCAGGUAUCAACGAAGAAGACGACGGCUGAGGUGUGGGCCAGCUUGAAGACGAGGUUCGUCGGCGCUGAUCGGGUCCAGGCGGCGCGGCUCUCCACUCUCCGUGGCGAGUUUGACAACCUGCGCAUGGAGGAGGGGGAGGCGCUGGACGCGUACGCCGGCAAAAUCGGCGGCAUGGCAGCAAGGUAUGCUGGCCUCGGCUCGACGCUCGGCGACGCCGCCAUGGUGAAAAAACUGCUCGACACGGUGCCUGAUCGGUUGUAUGCCGCGGUGGCCGGGAUCGAGCAGUUCUGCGACGUGGAGACGAUGGCGUUCGAGGAGGCGUUGAGCAGACUCAAGGCGUUUGACGAAUGCUUACGUCGGCGCACGCAGGACAACAGCGGACGAGGCGGCGAUCAGCUGAUGUUCACAGCGGCCCAGUGGGAGGCACGACAACGUCAGCGCGGCGGCGGCCUCGACCACGAUGAUGGUGCGAGCAGCGUGGCCUCGGGCACGAGACGGCGGCGCGGGAAGUGAUACAACUGUGGCGUUCGUGGCCACUUCUCCCGUGACUGCCGGCAGCCGAAGAAGGAGAAGGCGCUCCUCGCCGACGUCGACGAAGAACCUGGCCUCCUGUAGGUCACGAUUUAGGGGGAGAUUGUUAGGAAUAAACAGUGUGUGUGUGCGGAUGUGUGUCGCGUGUGUGUGCCCGUUCCUGUCCGUGGUCACCAGCGUAUGUGUGCGCGUGUGUUUGGGUCGAGUCUAGCCGGUUGGUGGCGAUCGUAUGGCGAUCGAGAUAGCGUGCAGCAGGUGCAACGGGAGGAACCUGGUGCCAGGUCGGGCGGACGAGCAAGCCGGGCUCACGAUCGAUGGAAGACCGGAUCGCUAGGGAGGCUCCGUGAGCGCUGCGUUUCUGUUAGCUAAAAAGCUGGCUGAUCUCGUGUUUGUUACGAGAUGUGUGGUGCGUCCAGGUUGUUGGCGGUUUUGUAGCACCGGUGGCGUGCGUCUGCCUAUAUAGGUCUAUGUAGCUCGUGAUUUGUUCACAGUUUGAGCUGGAGAAAAACGUUGUUCGUCAGCGAGGCGUUUGUCGCCGCAAAACAACUAUGCGUUUACUUCU